UACGGAGGGUGCGAGCGUUGUCCGGAAUCACUGGGCGUAAAAAGGCGCGUAGGCGGCGCGGAUAGUCGGCGGUGAAAGCCCGGAGCUCAACUCCGGGUCGGCCGUCGAUACUUCCGGGCUUUGAGCACUGUAGAGGCAGAUGGAAAUUCCGGGGUGUAGCGGUGGGAAUGCGUAGAGAUCCGGAAGAACACCGGUGGCGAAGGCGGUCUGCUGGGGCAGUUGCUGACGCUGAUGCGCGACAGCGUGGGGAGCAAACAGG
rnacentral:rRNA from 1 species